rnacentral:rRNA from 1 species
AUGCUGGCCGCCGUCGCGCACGCCGGCCGCUUCACCUUUCCCGAUCUAGGAAACCAGCAUUGCCGCUCCCCAUCUCUUAAUACAGAGGUGAUGACAAAGGAGGAAGAGGCGUUGUCAAGGUUGGACGAGCUGCUGACAAAGGCACAUCUGUAUUCUGAAUUUCUACUCGAAAAGAUGGACCAUCAGCUACAGAUUAUGUUGGCAGUUAUUCAAAUGAAAAAUAGGGAGGAACAUGUGGAAGAUCUGAAUAAAGGACAUGGUAUAAAAAGGAAAGCAAAGCCUAAACACUACAGUGAUGCAGUUGGGAUCAACUUUGUGAGUUCACUUGCUCUGUUAGAGACCAACCCUGCUACAACCAGUGAAGGAAGCACAUUUCAUAUGUCAGGAACCACACACAUCGCAGGAGAUGUUGUUUCUGUAUGGAAUAGAACGUGA